rnacentral:lncRNA from 1 species
UGAUCUUUAGCUUCUCGGACUCCUUGACUUGCAGCUUUGCCUCCCACUCAGCAAUGAGACCCCUGACUCUGUCAUCUCUCUGAUCCUUCACUAUGAUUUGCCUUCUCUUCUCAUCUUCAAUCACCUUUGAUGCUCUGAACAGCUUAUCUUUAGUGAUGUCGUGCUCCCGGUUAGACGAUGCUAAAGCCUGGCUGAUCUUCCCAUAGUAGGCUGUAUCCACCUCAAAGCGUUUGGCUGCUAGGGCAUGUCGCUUGUCUUGAUCUUCC